rnacentral:rRNA from 1 species
AUGACUCUCACCAAUGGAUAUCUUAGCUCUUGCAAUGAUGAAGAACGCGACGAAAUGUGAUACGUAGUGUGAAUUGAAAAAUUCCACGAAUCAUCGAGUCUUUGAACACAAGUUAUGCCCACGGCUCAUCCAAAGGCAUGCCUUGCUGAGCAUCCCC